UGGGGAAUAUUGCACAAUGGAGGGAACUCUGAUGCAGCGACGCCGCGUGAGUGAUGAAGGAAUUCGUUUCGUAAAACUCUGUUCUAUGGGAAGAAAAGGACUGUACCAUAGGAGAAAGCUCCGGCUAAAUACGUGCCAGCAGCCGCGGUAAUACGUAUGGAGCGAGCGUUGUCCGGAAUUAUUGGGCGUAAAGGGUGCGCAGGCGGCUUUACAAGUUGGAUGUGAAAUAUUGUGGCUCAACCACAAACGUGCAUCCAAAACUGCAAAGCUUGAGUUAAGGAGAGGUAAGUGGAAUUCCUGGUGUAGCGGUGGAAUGCGUAGAUAUCAGGAGGAAGACCGGUGGCGAAGGCGACUUACUGGACUUAAACUGACGCUCAGGCACGAAAGCGUGGGGAGCAAACAGG
rnacentral:rRNA from 1 species